rnacentral:rRNA from 1 species
UACGUAGGGUCCGAGCGUUGUUCGGAUUUACUGGGCGUAAAGGGCGCGUAGGCGGCCACCGCAAGUCGACUGUGAAAUCUCCGGGCUUAACCCGGAAAGGUCAGCCGAUACUGCGGGGCUAGAGUGCAGAAGGGGCAACUGGAAUUCUCGGUGUAGCGGUGAAAUGCGUAGAUAUCGAGAGGAACACCUGCGGCGAAGGCGGGUUGCUGGGCUGACACUGACGCUGAUGUGCGAAAGCUAGGGGAGCGAACGGG